UACGUAGGGUGCAAGCGUUGUCCGGAUUUAUUGGGCGUAAAGAGCUCGUAGGUGGCACAGUAAGUCGGAAGUUAAACCAUUGGGCUUAACCCAGUGUUGCUUCCGAUACUGCUGAGCUCGAGUUUGGCAGGGGAGAACGGAAUUCCACGUGUAGCGGUGAAAUGCGCAGAUAUGUGGAGGAACACCAAUGGCGAAGGCAGUUCUCUGGGCCAAUACUGACACUGAGGAGCGAAAGCGUGGGGAGCGAACAGG
rnacentral:rRNA from 1 species